AAAACAAGUGCUAUUUUAAUAGCCGACAUUUAUUUUGCUUUCCGAGUGUGCCUUUCCCGAGGCACUUUUUUUUGCCU
rnacentral:ncRNA from 1 species